rnacentral:piRNA from 1 species
UAGGACCUCGGAAGGACAACCCAGUGCCAG